rnacentral:rRNA from 1 species
UGCAAGUAGAACGCUGAAGGAGGAGCUUGCUUCUCUGGAUGAGUUGCGAACGGGUGAGUAACGCGUAGGUAACCUGCCUGGUAGCGGGGGAUAACUAUUGGAAACGAUAGCUAAUACCGCAUAAUAGUAGAUGUUGCAUGACAUUUGCUUAAAAGGUGCAAUUGCAUCACUACCAGAUGGACCUGCGUUGUAUUAGCUAGUUGGUGGGGUAACGGCUCACCAAGGCGACGAUACAUAGCCGACCUGAGAGGGUGAUCGGCCACACUGGGACUGAGACACGGCCCAGACUCCGACGGGAGGCAGCAGUAGGGAAUCUUCGGCAAUGGACGGAAGUCUGACCGAGCAACGCCGCGUGAGUGAAGAAGGUUUUCGGAUCGUAAAGCUCUGUUGUAAGAGAAGAACGAGUGUGAGAGUGGAAAGUUCACACUGUGCCGGUAUCUUACCAGAAAGGGACGGUUAACUACGUGCCAGCAGCCGCGGUAAUACGUAGGUCCCGAGCGUUGUCCGGAUUUAUUGGGCGUAAAGCGAGCGCAGGCGGUUAGAUAAGUCUGAAGUUAAAGGCUGUGGCUUAACCAUAGUACGCUUUGGAAACUGUUUAACUUGAGUGCAAGAGGGGAGAGUGGAAUUCCAUGUGUAGCGGUGAAAUGCGUAGAUAUAUGGAGGAACACCGGUGGCGAAAGCGGCUCUCUGGCUUGUAACUGACGCUGAGGCUCGAAAGCGUGGGGAGCAAACAGGAUUAGAUACCCUGGUAGUCCACGCCGUAAACGAUGAGUGCUAGGUGUUAGACCCUUUCCGGGGUUUAGUGCCGCAGCUAACGCAUUAAGCACUCCGCCUGGGGAGUACGACCGCAAGGUUGAAACUCAAAGGAAUUGACGGGGGCCCGCACAA